AGAGUUUGAUCCUGGCUCAGGAUGAACGCUAGCUACAGGCUUAACACAUGCAAGUCGAGGGGCAGCAUUUCAGUUUGCUUGCAAACUGGAGAUGGCGACCGGCGCACGGGUGAGUAACACGUAUCCAACCUGCCGAUAACUCGGGGAUAGCCUUUCGAAAGAAAGAUUAAUACCCGAUAGUAUAAUUAGACCGCAUGGUCUUAUUAUUAAAGAAUUUCGGUUAUCGAUGGGGAUGCGUUCCAUUAGGCAGUUGGUGAGGUAACGGCUCACCAAACCUUCGAUGGAUAGGGGUUCUGAGAGGAAGGUCCCCCACAUUGGAACUGAGACACGGUCCAAACUCCUACGGGAGGCAGCAGUGAGGAAUAUUGGUCAAUGGGCGCAGGCCUGAACCAGCCAAGUAGCGUGAAGGAUGACUGCCCUAUGGGUUGUAAACUUCUUUUAUAUGGGAAUAAAGUUUUCCACGUGUGGAAUUUUGUAUGUACCAUAUGAAUAAGGAUCGGCUAACUCCGUGCCAGCAGCCGCGGUAAUACGGAGGAUCCGAGCGUUAUCCGGAUUUAUUGGGUUUAAAGGGAGCGUAGGUGGACAGUUAAGUCAGUUGUGAAAGUUUGCGGCUCAACCGUAAAAUUGCAGUUGAUACUGGCUGUCUUGAGUACAGUAGAGGUGGGCGGAAUUCGUGGUGUAGCGGUGAAAUGCUUAGAUAUCACGAAGAACUCCGAUUGCGAAGGCAGCUCACUGGACUGCAACUGACACUGAUGCUCGAAAGUGUGGGUAUCAAACAGGAUUAGAUACCCUGGUAGUCCACACAGUAAACGAUGAAUACUCGCUGUUUGCGAUAUACAGUAAGCGGCCAAGCGAAAGCAUUAAGUAUUCCACCUGGGGAGUACGCCGGCAACGGUGAAACUCAAAGGAAUUGACGGGGGCCC
rnacentral:rRNA from 1 species